rnacentral:rRNA from 1 species
AGAGUUUGAUCAUGGCUCAGGAUGAACGCUGGCGGUAUGCUUAACACAUGCAAGUCGAACGGGGCCUUUCGGGGCCUAGUGGCGGACGGGUGAGUAACGCGUGAGAAUCUGGCCUCAGGUCUGGGACAACCAUUGGAAACGAUGGCUAAUACCGGAUGUGCCAUUAGGUGAAAGAUUAAUUGCCUGAGGAUGAGCUCGCGUCUGAUUAGCUAGUUGGUGGGGUAAAAGCCUACCAAGGCUCCGAUCAGUAACUGGUCUGAGAGGAUGACCAGUCACACUGGGACUGAGACACGGCCCAGACUCCUACGGGAGGCAGCAGUGGGGAAUUUUCCGCAAUGGGCGAAAGCCUGACGGAGCAAUACCGCGUGAGGGAGGAAGGCUCUUGGGUUGUAAACCUCUUUUCUCAGGGAAGAAUAAUGACGGUACCUGAGGAAUCAGCAUCGGCUAACUCCGUGCCAGCAGCCGCGGUAAUACGGAGGAUGCAAGCGUUAUCCGGAAUUAUUGGGCGUAAAGCGUCUGUAGGUGGACGUUCAAGUCUGCUGUCAAAGACCGGGGCUUAACCCUGGAAAGGCGGUGGAAACUGAAAGUCUAGAGUGCGGUAGGGGUAGAGGGAAUUCCCAGUGUAGCGGUGAAAUGCGUAGAGAUUGGGAAGAACACCGGUGGCGAAAGCGCUCUGCUGGGCCUGCACUGACACUAAGGGACGAAAGCUAGGGGAGCGAAUGGGAUUAGAUACCCCAGUAGUCC